rnacentral:rRNA from 1 species
GAUGAACGCUGGCGGCGUGCCUAAUACAUGCAAGUCGAGCGAACAGACGAGGAGCUUGCUCCUCUGACGUUAGCGGCGGACGGGUGAGUAACACGUGGAUAACCUACCUAUAAGACUGGGAUAACUUCGGGAAACCGGAGCUAAUACCGGAUAAUAUAUUGAACCGCAUGGUUCAAUAGUGAAAGACGGUUUUGCUGUCACUUAUAGAUGGAUCCGCGCCGCAUUAGCUAGUUGGUAAGGUAACGGCUUACCAAGGCAACGAUGCGUAGCCGACCUGAGAGGGUGAUCGGCCACAAUGGAACUGAGACACGGUCCAGACUCCUACGGGAGGCAGCAGUAGGGAAUCUUCCGCAAUGGGCGAAAGCCUGACGGAGCAACGCCGCGUGAGUGAUGAAGGUCUUCGGAUCGUAAAACUCUGUUAUUAGGGAAGAACAAAUGUGUAAGUAACUAUGCACGUCUUGACGGUACCUAAUCAGAAAGCCACGGCUAACUACGU